CCAUCCUCCGCUCCUCCAGCAGUCUUCCCUGAUUUGCUCUGCUUGGGGACACUUCCCCAAACAUCCUCCAUGAUGCUGACAUGCUGGCAAAAUACAUUUUGGGCACAGUAGUUGUAGUUUAAAAGAAGGCAUACAAUAAGAUAUUGUUUAAAGUAUUGCUGCAUAAACUUGAUAAACAUCAAGCAACCUCCAUGGAAACCAACUGACUGCUCCUGGUGUUUGUACCAUUCGUAGAACUUCAACCCUAGAUUUCCUCUUUAUAUAUAACUUAUGGUAUGUCUAUAGAACAUAAAUGUCUUA